rnacentral:rRNA from 1 species
GUGGGGAAUUUUGGACAAUGGGCGCAAGCCUGAUCCAGCCAUUCCGCGUGCAGGAUGAAGGCCUUCGGGUUGUAAACUGCUUUUGUACGGAACGAAAAGCCUCUGGUUAAUACCCGGGGGUCAUGACGGUACCGUAAGAAUAAGCACCGGCCAACUACGUGCCAGCAGCCGCGGUAAUACGAAGGGGGCUAGCGUUGCUCGGAAUUACUGGGCGUAAAGGGCGCGUAGGCGGACAGUUUAGUCAGAGGUGAAAGCCCAGGGCUCAACCUUGGAAUUGCGCUUGUGACUGCAAGGCUGUAGUGCGGCAGAGGGGGAUGGAAUUCCGCGUGUAGCAGUGAAAUGCGUAGAUAUGCGGAGGAACACCGAUGGCGAAGGCAAUCCCCUGGGCCUGCACUGACGCUCAUGCACGAAAGCGUGGGGAGCAAACAGGAUUAGAAACCCUAGUAUCC